UUUUUCCCCUCCUCCCCUCAAAAAUAGCUUUUUUCCGUGUUUUGCCUCGGGGAGGGGGGGGCUUUCGGAACCCCCUUCCCCACCCCCCCUCUCUUUGGACUAUUUGGGAGCAUAUUUGUGGCCAUUUAAGGGUGCUGUGAGGUGGCUAAGAUGCAUCACCAGCAGCGAAUGGCUGCCUUGGGGACGGACAAAGAGCUGAGUGACUUGCUGGAUUUCAGCGCGAUGUUUUCGCCUCCUGUGAGCAGCGGGAAGAACGGACCAACUUCCUUGGCCAGCGGACACUUCACUGGCUCCAGUAUGU